rnacentral:sRNA from 1 species
GUCACCAGAGUCAUAGCCCAUGAACUGGCGCACCAGUGGUUUGGCAACCUGGUCACAAUGGAAUGGUGGAAUGAUAUUUGGCUUAAUGAGGGUUUUGCAAAAUACAUGGAACUUAUCGCUGUUAAUGCUACAUAUCCAGAGCUGCAAUUUGAUGACUAUUUUUUGAAUGUGUGUUUUGAAGUAAUUACAAAAGAUUCAUUGAAUUCAUCCCGCCCUAUCUCCAAACCAGCGGAAACCCCGACUCAAAUACAGGAAAUGUUUGAUGAAGUUUCCUAUAACAAGGGAGCUUGUAUUUUGAAUAUGCUCAAGGAUUUUCUGGGUGAGGAGAAAUUCCAGAAAGGAAUAAUUCAGUACUUAAAGAAGUUCAGCUAUAGAAAUGCUAAGAAUGAUGACUUGUGGAGCAGUCUGUCAAAUAGUUGUUUAGAAAGUGAUUUUACAUCUGGUGGAGUUUGUCAUUCGGAUCCCAAGAUGACAAGUAACAUGCUCGCCUUUCUGGGGGAAAAUGCAGAGGUCAAAGAGAUGAUGACUACAUGGACUCUCCAGAAAGGAAUCCCCCUGCUGGUGGUUAAACAAGACGGGUGUUCACUCCAACUGCAACAGGAGCGCUUCCUCCAGGGGGUUUUCCAGGAAGACCCUGAAUGGAGGGCCCUGCAGGAGAGGUACCUGUGGCAUAUCCCAUUGACCUACUCCACGAGUUCUUCUAAUGUGAUCCACAGACACAUUCUAAAAUCAAAGACAGGUUAUGGAUAAGGCAAAAAAUGUUCAGUGGAAAAAAGCACAUACUUUAAAAUUGAUUGCUUCUGGAUUCAAGUCCUCACUCUCUCACUUAUUAGAUGUGUGACCUUAAGAAAAUUUACAAACUCAUCCUGAGCUUCAAUUUUUUCAUCUUGUGUUGAAUAAAGACUAAACCUCA